rnacentral:rRNA from 1 species
GACGAACGCUGGCGGCGUGCUUAACACAUGCAAGUCGAACGGCAAGGCCCUGCUUUUGUGGGGUUCUCGAGUGGCGAACGGGUGAGUGACACGUGAGUAACCUGCCCUUGACUUUGGGAUAACUUCAGGAAACUGGGGCUAAUACCGGAUAGGAGCUCCCGCUGCAUGGUGGGCGUUGGAAAGUUUCGGCGGUUGGGGAUGGACUCGCGGCUUAUCAGCUUGUUGGUGGGGUAGUGGCUGACCAAGGCUUUGACGGGUAGCCGGCCUGGGAGGGUGGACGGGGACAUGGGGACUGCGAUAGGCAGCAGACGCGUAUGGUAGGCAGCAGGGGGGAACAUGGUACAAUGGUACCAAGCCUGUGGCAGCAGCGCUGCGUGCGGGAUGACGGCCUUCGGGGUGAAAACAGCUUUCGCUUGUGACGAAGCGGGAGUGACGGUAAUGGGUAAAGAAGCACCGGCUAACUACGUG